UACUUGGAGGAGAUCUGCAGCGCUUCUAGUACAUGCCGAUCCUCCCACAGGCCCAACAGGUCAGCGCCAGGUGUGUCUAGAAGAAACGAUCGCUGCGAUCCUGGUCCAGGCAGGGGAGAGAAGGAGGAGGAGCCGAAAAUGCAGUACAG